CAAGCGCAAACAUGGCUGACGACAGCAACAUUGAAGGCGAAGAUGAGAACAUUUUGUAUGAUUUACUUAUAAAUACCGAAUGGCCACCCGAAACGGACACCCAGCUGCGAGGCAGCAAGGAGCAGAGCUCAUCUGUUAUUGCCAAAGCAGUGACAGGGCCGUUCAGGUUCAUCCUCCAUUAUCUGUGGUACAGCCCCUCCAGCUCCUCCCUGCCUCCUGGUCUGGUCCGACU